rnacentral:rRNA from 1 species
UACGUAGGGGGGCGAGCGUUUGUCCGAAGUUACUGGGCGUAAAGAGUGCGUAGGCGGCUUGACAAGUUGCAUCUAAAAGGCGACAGCUCAACUGACGAGUGCGGUGCAAGACUGUAAAGCUUGAGGCAAGCAAAAGAAUGUGGAACUCCGAGUGUAGCGGUGGAAUGCGUAGAGAUUCGGAAGAACACCCAUGGCGAAGGCAGCAUUCUGGGCUUGACCUGACGCUGAGGCACGAAAGCCAGGGGAGGCGAACGGGAUU